rnacentral:rRNA from 1 species
GUCGCUCCACCCGAGUGUGCUGGAAAUGAGGCUCGGUCAUUCUGGUCGUGUCGAGUUUCUAGCAUGCGAGGAGGGAGAAGUCGUAACAAGGUAGCCGUAGGGGAACCUGCGGCUGGAUCACCUCCUAU